ACUACGGGAGGCAGCAGUGAGGAAUAUUGGUCAAUAGACGCGAGCCUGAACCAGCCAAGUAGCGUGAAGGAUGACUGCCCUAUGGGUUGUAAACUUCUUUUAUAAAGGAAUAAAAUGAGGCACGUGUGCCGUUUUGUAUGUACCUUAUGAAUAAGGAUCGGCUAACUCCGUGCCAGCAGCCGCGGUAAUACGGAGGAUCCGAGCGUUAUCCGGAUUUAUUGGGUUUAAAGGGAGCGUAGGUGGAUUGUUAAGUCAGUUGUGAAAGUUUGCGGCUCAACCGUAAAAUUGCAGUUGAUACUGGCAGUCUUGAGUACAGUUGAGGUAGGCGGAAUUCGUGGUGUAGCGGUGAAAUGCUUAGAUAUCACGAAGAACCCCGAUUGCGAAGGCAGCUUACUAAACUGUGACUGACAUUGAUGCUCGAAAGUGUGGGUAUCAAACAGGAUUAGAUACCCGGGUAGUC
rnacentral:rRNA from 1 species